GGGUCUAUCGAUAGCCUUAACAUGUUCAGAAACUUGCAAGUUUACCUUACACGUACCGGUAAUAGCGUUUUCGUUCAGUAUUAAACUCGACUACAUCUAGUGUUGACCCAAACGUUUAAGAAAUAUAACAAUGGAUUUUCACUGAACUGUUAUUUAUUUUUGAGAUAGCGUCUCUAUUCGAACAUCAAAAUAUUACUAAACAUAAUCACAGACAUCGCUGAGCAUGAUUUCACUACAAAGGAUGCAAUAUAAUUCCGAAGAAGAAUCCUUAAUGGUCCACGAGUCACAGGGUUGCGAUGGAGAUGAUGACGACGAUGGUGCAUCUGAAAAACACAUACAGCGAAACAAAGUGAAAUCCUUCAGUAUUAAGACUCUAGCAGGGUCAAUUUUAUUUACUGGCGUAACAAGUUUCGUUCUUGGCAUUGCAUUCGAUCGUUUUGUUUUGAGCCAUCAAAAAAGUUUGAACAUACUCCAUGCGUAGUUGAAAAUACGAUACAGUGUAUAACAGAAAAAUAUAAUAACACACUUACGGGAUCUGAAAUAUUAUUAAAUCACACAGAAAGCGAGAGUUAUUUAUGUAAGGUCUGUAAUAGAAAUUCAUCAAAAGAAAAUGCUCAUUUUGAACCAAACGUACAUCUUUCGCCAUUUUCGCAGUUAACAGAGAUGGAAGUAAACUCAGUUGUUAAAUUCCUACAAUCAAGAAAAUAUAUAUCGACGACACAACAGUUCAAUGAAUCAAGGAUAACUCACUUAUAUCUCCAUCCACCG